rnacentral:lncRNA from 1 species
UUGGGAAAUCAUUUGACAUCCAGUAUUUAGAUUAAUAAGCAUAAAAGAACUCUGGGUGUAGUUGCCUUAGGUUACAUGACGCAUACUUUGCUAUUGUCAGCAUAAAUCAAAACCAGUUAAACAGCAUACCCAUCUGCUGAUAUAACCAAAUCUAAUCUUUUUUGGUUAUGUUGUUAUUACGUUAACUCUUAAUUGAUCUAGGCCUAAAUGUAGUUUGGGAAUUUUAGAAGGGAUCCAAUAUAUUUGGAUAAAAUUUAAUUACGGACAUCAUUAAGAGUUACAGCAGACAACAAUGCUAGCUAUUAUUAAAUGGAUCUGCAUGGAUAAAACGUUGCUUUCAGGCAACCCAUCAGAGUGACAUGAGUCCCCUAGUUGGAUGCUAAAAGAUAAUGGAUGACUUAGCCAUGACAACGAUUACACAUACAAUGCGCAAAG